rnacentral:miRNA from 1 species
UGGUUAGGUCAUGUUGCGCCUGAGUCGAUAUGAAGUUGAACUGAAUUUAACACUACACCGGCAUCCUCCAGUUCAACUUCAUAUCGACUCAGGCGCUACAUGGCCUAAA